UACGGGGGGGGCAAGCGUUGUUCGGAAUUACUGGGCGUAAAGGGCGCGUAGGCGGCCCGCUAAGUCGAACGUGAAAUCCCUGAGCUCAACUCGGGAACUGCGUCCGAUACUGGUGGGCUUGAAUCCGGGAAGGAGGAUGCGGGAAUUCCAGGUGUAGCGGUGAAAUGCGUAGAUAUCAGGAAGAACACCCGUGGCGAAGGCGGCUCUCUGGGACGGUACUGACGCUGAGACGCGAAAGCGUGGGGAGCGAACAGG
rnacentral:rRNA from 1 species